rnacentral:rRNA from 1 species
GAAAAGAACUUUGAAAAGAGAGUUAAACAGUACGUGAAAUUGUUGAUAGGGAAACGAUUGAAGUCAGUCGUACCGACGGAAAAUCAACUUCUCGGGUGCCUAUCGUGGGUGACGUUGAGCCUCACGGUCUUCGUUGCUUGUGUUGUUGGUACCUUUGUUGUGCACUUUUUCGUAUGGUAGGUCAACAUCGAUUUUGGUCGUCAUAAAAUGAUCGGAGGAAUGUAGCUUUGAUUUCGAUUGAAGUGUUAUAGCCUUUGGUAAAUGUGACGAUUGGGAUCGAGGAUUGCAACGAAUACCCUUUGGGCUAUCCGUCUGACCUCUGAAAGUCACUUGGGUGUCGAAAGCGUGCUUAUGGCAUACAAGUUGGCGGUCAACAGGUUAGAACGCGAUUACAUUCGUU